rnacentral:rRNA from 1 species
CAAUAGCGUAUAUUAAAGUUGUUGCAGUUAAAAAGCUCGUAGUUGAAUUUUUGCUUGCCGCCGAUGUCGGAACUUCCGUACGUUCGGCGGCGUGCAUCCUUGGGUGGAACCUGUGUGGCAUUAGGUUGUCGUGCAGGGGAUGCUCAUCGUUUACUGUGAAAAAAUUAGAGUGCUCAAAGCAGGCUUACGCCGUUGAAUAUAUUAGCAUGGAAUAAUAAGAUAGGACCUUGGUACUAUUUUGUUGGUUUGCGCACCGAGGUAAUGAUUAACAGGGACAGUUGGGGGUAUUCGUAUUCCAUUGUCAGAGGUGAAAUUCUUGGAUUUCUGGAAGACGAACUACUGCGAAAGCAUUUACCAAGGAUGUUUUCAUUAA